rnacentral:rRNA from 1 species
GGAAUAUUGCACAAUGGGCGCAAGCCUGAUGCAGCCAUGCCGCGUGUAUGAAGAAGGCCUUAGGGUUGUAAAGUACUUUCAGCGGGGAGGAAGGUGAUAAGGUUAAUACCCUUGUCAAUUGACGUUACCCGCAGAAGAAGCACCGGCUAACUCCGUGCCAGCAGCCGCGGUAAUACGGAGGGUGCAAGCGUUAAUCGGAAUUACUGGGCGUAAAGCGCACGCAGGCGGUCAAUUAAGUCAGAUGUGAAAGCCCCGAGCUUAACUUGGGAAUUGCAUCUGAAACUGGUUGGCUAGAGUCUUGUAGAGGGGGGUAGAAUUCCAUGUGUAGCGGUGAAAUGCGUAGAGAUGUGGAGGAAUACCGGUGGCGAAGGCGGCCCCC